GGAUAGAGGACACGACCAAGAUGGCGGCGGUGUCUGGCUUGGUGCGGAGACCCCUUCGGGAGGUCUCCGGGCUGCUGAAGAGGCGCUUUCACUGGACCGCGCCGGCUGCGCUGCAGGUGACAGUUCGUGAUGCUAUAAAUCAGGGUAUGGAUGAGGAGCUGGAAAGAGAUGAGAAGGUAUUUCUGCUUGGAGAAGAAGUUGCCCAGUAUGAUGGGGCAUACAAGGUUAGUCGAGGGCUGUGGAAGAAAUAUGGAGACAAGAGGAUUAUUGAUACUCCCAUAUCAGAGGUAAGCCUUCCAGUGGGAAGCAGACCCUGGAGGGCAUGUCUGUUAGUGUCCAUUAUCCUCAUUUUUAUGGAUUUUCACUUAUGUUUAUAUUUUACUUUAUAGAUGGGCUUUGCUGGAAUUGCUGUAGGUGCAGCUAUGGUAUGUAAUACUCUUUAUGAAACUUAUCCAAAGACAUUUCUUGUUUUCUUUUUCUUUCUUUUGAGACAGAGUCUCACUCUGUUGUCCAGCCUGGAGUGCACUGGCACCAUCUCAGCUUCCAGGUUCAAGCGAUUCUCCUGCCUCAGCCUCCAUAGUGGCUG
rnacentral:sRNA from 1 species